rnacentral:lncRNA from 10 species
CUCGAUCCAAUGGAGCAACUGUUGUUUUGGCACAGCAUCCAGCAAUACCUAAAAAUUUUUCAAAAGGUCAGGAAGAAAUUGCGUACCAUUUCUUUCCAGAUGGAAAUCAUUAGUUGUUCAGCCAGCAAACCCUCUAAUCUCUAAUUCAGUCUCCAUGAGUAAAUCUGCCCACAGCGUAUAGAUAUGCAGAUGACUGGUCCCCAUUUCCUGUAACUUAAUAAGUGAGCAUGAUUACACUGCUAAAACUUACUAAAACAAAUUUUAGUAGUGUAAAUCGUCAUCUAAUACCUGAGGAAGGCUGGGAAUCUUGCUAAAAUGUGGUUAUGGAGACAGACACUUCAAGGUAUUAAUCCAACUGCCAGGUUCUGUUUGAAGUAAACUCCUCUUCUUCUGGAUCAUUUUUCAUUGAAACAACCAACUUUUACCCAUAAAAUUAGUCAUCCAUUUAUACAUUCAGCAAAUAUGUAUUUCGACCCUACCAUGUGCCACUGGGGAAAAGUAUAGAUGAAAGUAGAAUAAAGUGCAUACAUGGGCUUUAGCAUAGGUCAGAGUCCAGGCCAGCCCUUCGAGCUUGGCAUGCUUCUAAAGCAAUAAUAUAGACUUCUCUACAAUACUGUACAUCUAGUAAUGACUUGAAAAAAUGGGUUGCUCCUUUUAUAAAAAGGUGAAUAACAGGCCAGGCACAGUAGCUCGCACCUGUAAUCCCAGCACUUUCGGAGGCUGAGGUAGAAAAAUUACUUGAGACUAGGAGUUUGAGACCAGCCUGGGAAACACAGUGAGACCUCAUCUCUACAAAAAAUUUUUUAAAAUCGGCUGGGCGCAGUGCUUCAUGCCUGCAAUCCCAGCACUUUGGCAGCUCGGGGCGGGCAGAUCUCCUGAGGUCAGGAGCUCGACACCAGCCUGGCCAACAUGGUGAAACCCCGUCUCUAUCAAAUAUACAAAAAAAUUAGCAAGGCAUGGUGGCAGGCGCCUGUAGUCCCAGCUAUUUGGGAGGUUAAGGCAGGAGAAUCCCUUGAACCCAGGAGGCCGAGGUUGCAGUGAGCCGAGAUCACACCAUUGCACUCUAGCCUGGGCGACAAAGCGAGACUCCAUCUCAAAGAAAAAAAAAAAUUAGCAAGGCAUGGUGGUGUGCCUCAGUACUCAGAGACUAAGGCUGGAGGAUGACGUGAGCCAACAGUUGGAGGUCACGGAGAGCUAUAAUUGUGCGGCUUCGCUCCAGCCUAGAUAACACAGCAACACCUGGUCUUUAAAAAACAACAAGUCCGGGCACGGUGGCUCACGCCUGUAAUCCCAGCAAUUUGGGAGGCCGAGGCAGGCAGAUCACUUGAGGUCAGGAGUUUGAAACCAGCCUGGCCAAUAUGGUGAAACCCCAUUUCUACUAAAAAUAAAAAAAUUAGCCGGGCAUGGUGGCGGCUGCCUGUAAUCCCAACUACUGGGGAGGCCGAGGAAGAAGAAUCUCUUGAACCCAAAAGGUGGAGGUUGCAGUGAGCUGAGAUCACACCAUUGCACUCCAGCCUGGGUUACAGAGACUAUGUCUUAAAAAAAGAAAAAAAAAGAAAACACAAAUAAAAUUUUAAUUUUAAAAAUCCAUAUUCUGAGAUAUCCAAAAAUAAAUUGUGGCUGGGAGCCGUGGCUCAUGCCUGUAAUCGCAGCACUUUGGGAGGCCGAGGCGGGCAGAUCACGAGGUCAGGAAUUCAAGACCAGCCUGGCCAACAUGGUAAAAUCCCAUCUCUACUAAAAACACAAAAAUUAGCUGGGCAUGGUGGUGCGUGCAUGUAAUCCCAGCUGCUUGGGAGGCUGAGGCAGAAGAAUUGCAUGAACCCAGGAGGCAGAGGUAAUAGUGAGCCGAGAUCGCACCACUGCACUCCAGCCCGAGCAACAGAGCAGGUCUCGGUCUCAAAAAAACAAAUAAAAUAAAUAAAUAAAUAAAUAAAUUAAAUAAAUAAAUAAAUAAAAUGUAUUUUUUACUCAGAUAUUAUAUCCACUAUGUUUCCAUAUCAAAGCUCUCUUAUCCGAACUAAUGAAAAUAAUAGUUGGCCAGGUAUGGUGACUCAUACCUGUAAUCCCAGCGCUUUGGGAGGCCGAGGUGGGCGGAUCACCUGAGGUCGGGAGUUUGAGACCAGCCCGACCAACAUGGAGAAACCCUGUCUCUACUAAAAAUACAAAAUUAGCUGGGUGUGAUGACGUGUGCCUGUAAUCCCAGCUACUUGGGAGGCUGAGGCAGGAGAAUCACUUGAACUUGGGAGGCAGAGGUUGUGGUGAGCCGAGAUCACACCAUUGCACUCUAGCCUGGGCAACAAGAAUGAAACUCCGUCUCAAAAAACAAAAAAAGGCUGGGCGCAGUGGCUCAUGCCUGUAAUCCCAGCACUUUGGGAGGCCGAGGUGGGUGGAUCACGAGGUCAGGAGUUCAAGACCAGCCUGGCCAAGAUGGUGAAACCUUGUCUCUACUAAAAAUACAAAAAUUAGCCAGGUGUGGUAGCGGACACCUGUAAUCCCAGCUACUCGGGAGGCUGAGGCAGAGAAUUGCCUGAACCCGGGAGGCAGAGGUCUCAGUGAGCUGAGAUUGUGCCACUGCACUCCAGCCUGGGUGACAGAGUGAGACUCCAUCUCAAAAAAAAAAAAAAAGUAAAUCAUAAUCAUAGCUAUCCAAAAUUAUGGGUAAACUAAAAAUAAUAUGCAUUUGGAUACAUUUGGUUUCAGAAUAUUUUAUAUUAUCUUCUCAGUUGUGUAUGAAUUAACUGUAUAAUGAAUUAUUUAGGCCAGGUGCAGUGGCUCUCGCCUGUAUUCCCAGCACUUUGGGAGGCCGAGGUGGGCAGAUCAUCUGAGGUCAGGAGUUCGAGACCAGCCUAGCCAACAUGGUGAAACCCCAUCUCUUCUAAAAAUACAAAAAUUAGCCAGGUGUGGUGGCACAUGCUUAUAAUCCCAGAUACUUGGAAAGCUGGGGCAGGAGAAUCGCUUGAACCCGGGAGGCAUAGGUGGCAGUGAGCCGAGAUCAUGUCACUGCACUCCAGCCUGGGCGACAAGAACGAAACUCCGUCUCAAAAAAAAAGAGAGAAAUUGUUUAGAAUGUAUUCAAUAAGUACUUUUAUAUAAUAGUAUCUUUUUUUUUUUUUUUCCAGGGCUGGAGUGCAAUGGUGCGAUCUCGGCUCACUACAACCUUCACCUCCCAGGUUCAAGCGAUUCUCCUGCCCCAGCCUCCCGAGUAGGUGGGAUUACAGGAACCCACCACCUCGCCCAGCUAAUUUUUUCUUUUUUUAGUCUUUAGUAGAGAGAGGGUUUCACCAUGUUGGCCAGACUGUUCUUGAACUCCUGAUCUCGUCAUCCACCCGCCUCUACCUCCCAAAGUACUGGGAUUACAGGCAUGAGCCACCGCACCCAGCCUAUUUAAUAGUAUCUUAACUUGCUUUCACACUACGAUAGUCCCCCCUUAUCUGCAAUUUCACUUUCUGCAGUUUUAGUUACCACCAGUCAUCCAUGUUCAAAAAAUAUUAGAUAGACAAUCUGUAAAUAAACAAUUGACCCGGGCACAAUGGCUCAUGCCUAUAAUCCCAGCAUUUUGGGAGGCCUAGGUGGGAGGAUCACUUGAGGUCAGGAUUUCAAGACCAGCCUGGCCAACUUGGUGAAACCCCGUCUCUACUAAAAAUACAAAAAUUAGGCCAGGCGCAGUGGCCCACACCUGUAAUCCCAGCACUUUGGAAGUCCGAGGCAGGCAGAUCACCUGAGGUCAGAAGUUCGAAACCAGCCUGACCAACAUGGAGAAACACUAUCUCUACUAAAAAUACAAAAAUUAGCUAGGCCUGGUGGCACAUGCCUGUAAUCCCAGCUACACGGGAGGCUGAGGCAGGAGAAUUGCUUGAAUCCAGGAGGCAGAGGUUGCAGUGAUUCACAAUUGCACCAUUACACUCCAGCCUGGGCAACAAGAGCAAAACUCUGUCUCAAAAAAAAAAAAAAAAAAAUACAAAAAUUAGCCAGGCGAAGGGCCAGGCAUGGUGCCUCACAUCUGUAAUCCCAGCAUUUUGGGACGUUGAGGCGGGCAGAUCGCAAGGUCAGGAGAUCGAGACCAUCCUGGCUAACAUGGUGAAACCCCGUCUCCACUAAAACUACAAAAAAUUAGCCGGCAUGGUGGCACGUGCCUGCAGUCCCAGCUACUCGGGAGGCUGAGGCAGGAGAAUCACUUGAACUUGGGAGGCAGAGGUUGCAGUGAGCCGAGAUCGCGCCACUGCACUCCAGCCUGGUGACAAAGUGAGACUCCGUCUCCAAAAAAAAAAGGAACACACAGACACACACAUACUCACAUUUAAUAUCAAGUGCCAACAAGGCAGUGGGGAUACAAAAUGGAAUAGACACUUUAGAAAUACUUUGACAGUUUCUAAUUAAAACCGGCCGGCUGUGGUGGUUAAUGCCUGUAAUCCCAGCACUUUGGUGGGCUGAGGCAGGAGGAUCACUUGAGCUCAGUUCGAGACCAGCCUGGCCAACAUGGCAAAACCCCAUCUCUACUAACAGUACAAAAACUAGCCAAGCAACACACCUGUAAUCCCAACUACUGUGGAGUCUGAGGUGGCAGAAUCGCUUGAACCCAAGAAGCGGAUGUUUCAGUGAGCAGAGAUGGUGCCACUGCACCCAGCCUGGGUGACAAAGCAAGACUCCAUCUCAAUAAAUAAAAAAUAAACACAACGAGGACUGGUGCAGUGGGUCAUGCCUGUAAUCUUUUUUUUUUUUUUUUUUUUUUUUUUUUUGAGACGGAGUCUCGCUCUGUCGCCCAGGCUGGAGUGCAGUGGCGGGAUCUCGGCUCACUGCAAGCUCCGCCUCCCGGGUUCACGCCAUUCUCCUGCCUCAGCCUCCCAAGUAGCUGGGACUACAGGCGCCCGCCACUACGCCCGGCUAAUUUUUUGUAUUUUUUUUUAGUAGAGACGGGGUUUCACCGUUUUAGCCGGGAUGGUCUCGAUCUCCUGACCUCGUGAUCCGCCCGCCUCGGCCUCCCAAAGUGCUGGGAUUACAGGCGUGAGCCACCGCGCCCGGCCAUGCCUGUAAUCUUAACACUUUGGGAUGCUGAGGUGGGCAGAUCACUUGAGGUCAGGAAUUGGAGACCAGUCUGGCCAACAUAGUGAAACCCGUCUCUACUAAAAAUACAAAAAUGAGCUGGGCGUGAUGGCGCACACCACCUGUAGUCCCAGCUAAUCGGGAGGUUGAGGCGGUAAAAUCGCUUGAACUCGGGAGCCAGAAGUUGCAGUGAGCUGAGAUCAUGCUGCUGCACUCCAGCCUGGACAACAGAGAGAGACUCUGUCUCAAAAAAAAAAAAGAAAAAAGAAAAGAAGGAAAUACAUUACUUAUACGUGCAAUGUGAAUGAAUCUUAAAUGCAUUAAGGUAAGUGAUGGAAGUCAGACUCAAAAGGCUACAUACUAUAUGACCCGAUUUAUAUAAUAUUCUGGAAAAGUCAAGACUACAGAGAUAGAAAAACAGAUCAGUGGUUGACAAGGGUUGCAGAUGAGAGGAGAGGAUUGUCAAAGAAAAGUGGAAAUAAAGCCAGGCACAGUGGCUCAUGCCUGUAAUUCUAACACAUUGGGAGGCCAAGGCAGGUGGAUCACUUAAGGUCAGGAAUUCGAGACCAGUCUGGCCAGAAUGGUGAAACCCGGUCUCCACUGAAAAUACAAAAAUUAGGCCAGGCACGGUGGCUCAUGCCUGUAAUCCCAGCACUUUCGGAGGCCGAGGCAGGCGGAUCACGAGGUCAGGAGAUCAAGACCAUCCUUGCUAACACGGUGAAACCCCGUCUCUACUAAAAAUACAAAAAAUUAGCCAGGUGUGGUGACACACGCCUAUAGUCCCAGCUACUCGGGAGGCUGAGGCAGGAGAAUCACUUGAACCUGGGAGCUGGAGGUUGUAGUGAGCCAAGAUUGCACCACUGCACUCUAGCCUAGGCAACAGAGUGAGAUUCCUUCUCAAAAAAAAAAAAAAAAAAAAAAAAUUAGCCAGAAGUGGUGGCACCCACCGGUAGUCCCAGCUACUCUGGAAGCUGAGACAGGAGGAUCACUUGAACACGGGAGGUGGAGGUUGCAGUGAUAAUCAGGCCACUGCACUCCAGCCUAGGCAACAAAGCGAGAAUGUCUCAAAAAAAAAAUAAAAGUGGAAAUAUUUUGGAACUACUCUAUAUCUUGACUAUGGUGGUCAUUACACAACAUGUUUGUCAAAGUGCAUUUAACUUAGCCAACAACGAUAGCUCUUUUUAUUCCCCCUUUCACGGAAUCUGGCUCUGUUGCUCAGGCUUGAGUGCAGUGCUGCGAUCUGGGCUUACUGCGACCUCCGCCUCUCGCGUUCAAGUGAUUCUCCUGCCUCAGCCUCCUGAGUAGCUGGGACUACAACAGGUGGGCGCCACCAUGCCCAGCUAAUUUUUGUAUUUUUUGUACAGACUGGGUGUCACUAUGUUGCCCAGGCUGGUCUCCAACUCAUUAGCUCAAGCUAUCCCCGCUACUCAGCCUCCCAAAGUGCUGAGAAUAGAGGCCUGAACCAGUGCACCCGGCCAUAGAUAUUUUGUUCUCUGAUUUAUACCAAGCAAGUCGGAGGCACAUAGUUGGAACUCGAAUAUUUUCCGUGUGAAUAAAUGUCAUUUUUUUUUAAUUGAGAGGGAGUCUUGCUCUGUUGCCCAGGCUGGAGUGCAGUGGAGCGAUCUUGUCUCACAACAACCUCCACCACCCAGGUUGAAGCGAUUCUCAUGCCUCAGCUUCCCAAGUAGCUGGGACUACAGGUGCGUGCCACCAAGCCUGGCUAGUUUUUUUGUAUUUUUAGUAGAGAUGGGGUUUCGCCAUGUUGGCCGGGAUGGUCUUGAACUCCUGACCUCAGGUGAUCUGCCCACCUGAGCCUCCUGAAGUGCUGGGAUUACAGGUGUGAGACACCUCACCUAGCCUAAAUGUCAUUUUAUCAGCAGAACAAAAUAAUUAAAUCCCGAGGCCUGGAUUGGUGGCUUAUGCCUUUAAUCCCAGCACUUUGGGAGGCAGAGGUGAGCAGAUUGCUUGAGGCCACGGGUUCGAGACCAGCCUGGCCAACAUGGUAAAACCCUGUCUCUGCUAAAAAUAUAAAAAUUAGGGCCAGGCACAGUGGCUCACGCCUGUAAUCCCACCACUCUGGGAGGCCGAGGUGGGUGGAUCACAAGGUCAAAAGAUCAAGACCAGGUGGCUCACGCCUGUAAUCCCAGCACUAUGGGAGGUCAAGGCGGGCGGAUCACGAGGUCAGGAGAUCGAGACCAUCCUGGCUAAUAUGGUGAAACCCCGUCUCUACUAAAAAUACAAAAAAUUAGCCGGGCGUGGUGGCGGGCGCCUGUAGUCCCAGCUACUCAGGAGGCUGAGGCAGGAGAAUGGCGUGAACCCGGGAGGCAGAGAUGAGAUUGCAGUGAGCCGAGAGCACGCCACUGCACUCCAGCCUGGGCAACAGAAACUCCAUCUCAAAAAAAAAAAAAAAAAAAAAGAGAGAUCGAGACCAUCCUGGCCAACAUGGUAAAACUUCGUCUCUACUAAAAAUACAAAAUUAGCUGGGUGUGGUGGCACACACCUAUAGUCCUAGCUACUCAGGAAGCUGAGGCAGGAGAAUCUCUUGAACCCAGGAGGCAAAGGUUGCAGUGAGCUGAGAUGGCACUAAUGCACUCCAGCCUGGGUGAGAGUAAGACACCGUCUCAAAAAUAAAUAAAUAAAUAAAUUAGCCAGGCACGGUGGCGAGCACCUGUAAUCCCAGCUACUCGGGAGGUUGAGGCAGGAGAAUCGCUUGAACCAGGCGGCAGAGGUUGCAGUGAGCCGAGAUUGCGCCACUGCACUCCAGCCUGGGCUACAUAGUGAGACUCCAUCUCAAAAAAAAAAAAAAAAAAAAAUUAACUGGGCAUGGUGGUGCACGCCUGUAAUCCCAGCUACUUGGGAGGCAGAAGCAGGUAAAUCACUUGAACCCGGAUACGGAGGUUGCAGUGAGCAGAGAUCGUGCCGCUGCACUCCAGCCUGGCCGACAGAGUGAGACUCCAUCUCAAAAAAGAAAAAGAAAAAAAAUUAGCCAGGCAUGGUGGCAUUCCCCUGUAAUCCCAGCUACUUGGGAAGCUGGGUCAGCAGAAUCACUUGAACCCAGGAAGCAGAGGUUGCAGUGAGCCAAGAUCACGCCACUGCACUCCUGCCUGGGUGAGGGAGUGAGACUCUGUCUCAAAACAACAACAACAACAAAAAAAACUUAAUACUGCUGCAGUCUUCAGAUAUUAUCUUUCUACAAAUCCUCAUAAUGUGAGGUUUUUUUUGUUUUAUUUUAUUUUGUUUUUGAGAUGGAGUGUCUCUGUCACCCAGACUGGAGUGCAAUGGCAGGAUCUCGGCUCACUGCAACCUCCACAGUGAUUUAGGCGACUCUCCUGCCUUAAGCCUCCUGAGUAGCUGGGAUUACAGGCGAGUGCCACCACGCCUGACAAAUUUUUGUAGUUUUAGUAGAGACAGGGUUUCACCAUGUUGGCCAGGCUGGUCUCAAACUCCUGACUUCAAGUGAUCUGCCCACCUUAGUCUCCCAAAGUGCUGGGAUUACAGGCGUGAGCCACCCUGCCCAGCGAAUUUUUAUUGUUUGUUUUUGUUUUUUUCUUCUUUUAGGAGAGGGUCUCUCUCUGUAGCUCAGGCUGGAGGGUAGUGGUGUGAUCAUGGCUUACUGGAGCCUCGAUCUCCUGGACUCAAGCAGUCUUCCUGCCUCAGCUUCCCUAGUAACUGGGACUACAGUAGUGAGCCACUGCACACAACUUCAAUGUGGAAUUUUUAAAUUUUUGAAUCUUAAAUAAUUAAGUAAUGACAACCUGUGGGGAAAAGCAAGAGAGAUCAGAUUGUUACUGUGUCUGUGUAGAAAGAAGUAGACAUAGGAGACUCCAUUUUGUUCUGUACUAAGAAAAAUUCUUCUGCCUUGAGAUUCUGUUAAUCUAUAACCUUACCCCCAACCCCGUGCUCUCUGAAACAUGUGCUGUGUCACAGAGUUGAAUGGAUUAAGGGCGGUGCAAGAUGUGCUUUGUUAAACAGAUGCUUGAAGGCAGCAUGCUCCUUAAGAGUCAUCACCACUCCCUAAUCUCAAGUACCCAGGGACACAAAAACUGCGGAAGGCCGCAGGGACCUCUGCCUAGGAAAGCCAGGUAUUGUCCAAGGUUUCUCCCCAUGUGAUAGUCUGAAAUACGGCCUCGUGGGAAGGGAAAGACCUGAACGUCCCCCAGCCCGACACCCGUAAAGGGUCUGUGCUGAGGAGGAUUAGUAUAAGAGGAAGGCAUGCCUCUUGCAGUUGAGACAAGAGGAAGGCAUCUGUCUCCUGCCUGUCCCUGGGCAAUGGAAUGUCUCGGUAUAAAACGCGAUUGUAUGCUCCAUCUACUGAGAUAGGGAAAAACCGCCUUAGGGCUGGAGGUGGGACCUGCGGGCAGCAAUACUGCUUUGUAAAGCAUUGAGAUGUUUAUGUGUAUGCAUAUCUAAGAGCACAGCACUUAAUCCUUUACAUUGUCUAUGACGCAAAGACCUUUGUUCACGUGUUUGUCUGCUGACCCUCUCCCCACAAUUGUCUUGUGACCCUGACACAUCCCCCUCUUCGAGAAACACCCACAAAUGAUCAAUAAAUACUAAGGGAACUCAGAGGCUGGCGGGAUCCUCCAUAUGCUGAACGCUGGUUCCCCGGGUCCCCUUAUUUCUGUCUCUAUACUUUGUCUCUGUGUCUUUUUCUUUCCUAAGUCUCUCGUUCCACCUUACGAGAAACACCCACAGGUGUGGAGGGGCAACCCACCCCUACACAACCCAGAGAAGUAAUUAAGGAAGGGUGGAGCUUGAAGGCCCAGGAAAUUCCUAAGAGACAAUAUGAACUUUUUGAUCCCAAAGUCACAUCAAUAAUAGGGCUUGUCAAGUACUGUGUCACAGUUUACUAGAAUCACUGGAACCAGUUUUGGCUGUAGACAGUUUGCACAAUUUUCCAGUAGUCAUUAAAAAGCUGAUCUCCAAUAUUUGUUUUCCUUUAAGCAAACAGCAAAAUCCAAGUCUACACUGGGUCACUCACGGUUUUUAUAAAAGAAAGGAGUGCCCAGCAUGUCUCACUAAAACCCCAGGGUCUCUGUAAGGGAUCCUCCUCUUUUCCCUGUUAUCCAGCCCUGAAGAAUGGGUGCCUGAUUCAGACCUUCCACCUCCCCAGCCUCUGCCGGAGUGCCAAAGGUCCCACUCCCCAUAACCUAGCUGUCAUUAGUCAAGUGAUUACUAGAAAGAGGUUACAGCAGGUCAGGGCAGACAUCUAACAGAACAUUGAAGCAGCCAGAGUCCAGGAAUGUCAUAGAGGCCGCUUGCAUCCCACUUGCCCACAGUCCUGCCCCCGCCACUCAGAGCGCGGCUGGCUCUUCGUGGCAUGGACCCACCUCCGGCCAGAAAGGAGCGCAGCCAGUAGAAGUCUCUGCGGGUUGUGGGCCCUCCGGCCCCUGCCGCCUGCGGCAUUGCGGGAGGGGGAUCGGCCGCCGCCAGGGCUGCCGCGGCCGUCGCCGCCGCCAUCAGGACCAGGGUCGCGUCAGGAGCCUAGGUUGCCAACUUACAGAACACCGGACGGGACCAUAGCCGGAACAGGCGGUGACAGGAGGCUGACCGCCCCGCCGGCGGGGCAAAGUAACACCCGGCGGCGCGGCGCCGGCUGAUGGCGUACAGCAAGGGCGGGGCCUGUGUCACGCGCCAAGGGGCUCUGCCGGGAGGGGCGGGGCCAGGACGCGGAACAGGGCGUCACCCAGGCUCGUAAACUCCUCCAUCCCGCCUCACCCGGCGUUGCCACUGUCAGUUCACUGCUCAGGCCCCUUCUGUUCGGACGGAAAAAGGAAACGGUAGGCAG